AGCAUCAUAUSYKGSYUGUCCAGGKKGKKAAAAAUMCMCCUKUWRSCAAGGSCCGGGGCAAGACCGGUCCCAGCCSGCCGGGGUAACACCGGCGCCCCGGGUGGUGAUCGUGAUUAUGGGGUCUAAAGGGUCCGUAGCCGGUUUGGUCAGUCCUCCGGGAAAUCUGAUAGCUCAACUAUUAGGCUAUCGGGGGAUACUGCCAGGCUUGGAACCGGGAGAGGUAAGAGGUACUACAGGGGUAGGAGUGAAAUCUUGUAAUCCCCUGUGGGACCACCUGUGGCGAAGGCGUCUUACCAGAACGGGUUCGACGGUGAGGGACGAAAGCUGGGGGCACGAACCGGAUUAGAUACCCGGGUAGUCCCAGCCGUAAACGAUGCUCGCUAGGUGUCAGGCAUGGCGCGACCGUGUCUGGUGCCGCAGGGAAGCCGUGAAGCGAGCCACCUGGGAAGUACGGCCGCAAGGCUGAAACUUAAAGGAAUUGGCGGGGGAGCAC
rnacentral:rRNA from 1 species